GUGGGCUGGAGAGAUGGCUCAGGG
rnacentral:piRNA from 1 species